AUUCUGCCCAAGCGGGGAAGGAUGAGAAGCUUCGACCAAGGUUCGACUUGAUCGCCAGCGAGAGAGCGUUGCCGCAGGCAACGACCCGAAGGGCGAAGCGCGCAGCGCUGAGUAAUCCUUCCCCCACCACCA
rnacentral:sRNA from 1 species